rnacentral:rRNA from 1 species
GGCAUCGCAUGCAGAGUCUGACGGAGCACGCCGCGUGAGUGAUGAAGGUUUUCGGAUCGUAAAGCUCUGUUGUUAGGGAAGAACAAGUACCGUUCGAAUAGGGCGGUACCUUGACGGUACCUAACCAGAAAGCCACGGCUAACUACGUGCCAGCAGCCGCGGUAAUACGUAGGUGGCAAGCGUUGUCCGGAAUUAUUGGGCGUAAAGGGCUCGCAGGCGGUUUCUUAAGUCUGAUGUGAAAGCCCCCGGCUCAACCGGGGAGGGUCAUUGGAAACUGGGGAACUUGAGUGCAGAAGAGGAGAGUGGAAUUCCACGUGUAGCGGUGAAAUGCGUAGAGAUGUGGAGGAACACCAGUGGCGAAGGCGACUCUCUGGUCUGUAACUGACGCUGAGGAGCGAAAGCGUGGGGAGCGAACAGGAUUAGAUACCCUGGUAGUCCACGCCGUAAACGAUGAGUGCUAAGUGUUAGGGGGUUUCCGCCCCUUAGUGCUGCAGCUAACGCAUUAAGCACUCCGCCUGGGGAGUACGGUCGCAAGACUGAAACUCAAGAAUUUUGACGGG